rnacentral:tRNA from 1 species
GCCUGGUAGCUCAAUUGGCAGAGCGGGGGAUUCGCAAUCUCCAGGUCGCUGGUUCAAGUCCAGCCCAGGCCA